rnacentral:rRNA from 1 species
CCUACGGGUGGCAGCAGUGAGGAAUAUUGGUCAAUGGCCGGAAGGCUGAACCAGCCAAGCCGCGUGAAGGACGAAGGUGCCAAGCAUUGUAAACUUCUUUUGUCAGGGAACAAAAUCAGGCUCGAGAGCCUGACCGAGGGUACUUGAAGAAAAAGCAUCGGCUAACUCCGUGCCAGCAGCCGCGGUAAUACGGGGGAUGCGAGCGUUAUCCGGUUUUAUUGGGUUUAAAGGGUGCGUAGGCGGGUUGUUAAGUGAGCGGGAAAAGCCGGGGGCUCAACCCCGGCGAGCCGUUGAAACUGGCUGUCUUGAGAUGUCGAGAGGUAUGCGGAAUGCGCAGUGUAGCGGUGAAAUGCUUAGAUAUUGCGCAGAACUCCGAUGGCGAAGGCAGCAUACCGGAGGCGAUCUGACGCUGAGGCACGAAAGCGUGGGUAUCGAACAGGAUUAGAUACCCCUGUAGUC